UUUUUCAGUUGGUUAGAAAAAAAUAUAUUAGAAAGAGAAAAGAAAACAGUACCAUAAGUUUCAGGAUAAGAACUCUUAGAACUUAAAAAGAAAACCAAAACAAAGACACCAAAAUACUGAAGUCCUAUAACUGUAAAACCUAGUUAGUGUAGGAGUGUUGUCCAAUCUCUUUGCAUAUCUUAUAUGUUGAUUCCAUGAAAUAAUGAUGAACACUAAAGAGAAACUGCGUACACAAUACUCUACCCUUGUAAUCAUAAAUACAAGCUUGGAUUUGGUUUGGAGGGAAUUGGCUUGGAAGUUGAACUUGAGGGGGUGGUGGCAAACCCUGUUGUGGAGGAGGUUGAGGAGGAGCAUUAGGAGGAGGAAUAACAGGAAUGGACUGAGGAAGAUUAGCAGGGGUAGGAAGGUGUGGUUGAGAUUGCACAGUAGCAGGAACAGCUUGCUGCACAGGGUCGGUAGUUGUGCUAGAUUGAGCUUCUGAUUUCUGAUUUGUAUUGGACACUUGUAGCUUUGCCAAUUGCAGCUGAGCUUGGAUUAUAUCUUGCUUGUCCUUGAUAGUUUGCACCUGUGUGUUUCAUAUAUCAAACAAAACAGGUAAAAACAGGAGUAGUAUGAAAAUAAACUCGCAUAUAUCAUGAAAGCUUCGGGAUAAAUUAGCUUUAGCGCUAC
rnacentral:lncRNA from 1 species